GACGAACGCUGGCGGCGCGCCUAACACAUGCAAGUCGAACGAGCGAGAGAGAGCUUGCUUUCUCGAGCGAGUGGCGAACGGGUGAGUAACGCGUGAGGAACCUGCCUCAAAGUGGGGGACAACAGUUGGAAACGACUGCUAAUACCGCAUAAGCCCACGGUGCCGCAUGGCACAGAGGGAAAAGGAGCAAUCCGCUUUGAGAUGGCCUCGCGUCCGAUUAGCUAGUUGGUGAGGUAAUGGCCCAACAAGGCGACGAUCGGUAGCCGGACUGAGGGGUUGAACGGCCACAUUGGGACUGAGACACGGCCCAGACUCCUACGGGAGGCAGCAGUGGGGAAUAUCGCACAAUGGGGGAAACCCUGAUGCAGCGACGCCGGGUGGAGGAAGAAGGUCUUCGGAUUGUAAUCUCCUGUUGUGGGGGAGGAUAAUGACGGUACCCAACAAGGAAGUGACGGCUAACUACGUG
rnacentral:rRNA from 1 species